UUUUUUGCCUCUUCUCUUGGGCAAACUUAGCUUUCUUCUUGAGAACUUGCCCUUCCUUCCUCUCCCAUUUCUCCAUUUUUGAAGGACUUCUUCCCCCUUACCUCUUCAUCUUUUGAUUACUACUUCGUGGAUCUACUUCUACUGCAUGAGGGCAUUGCAGCCGGGCAGCCCAGAGAGGGCUUCUUUCACCAAUGCCCUACCAAAAGAGGGCACUGACGUUGCCUUCAUCGUCCUCAGACCUUCCUGUCCUUUCAGCUGCUCUCACGAGGAGACUGAACACUUGAACUCCCAAAGGAGAGCAACUGAGUACUGCGAGGCAGCAGCUCUUUACUGUUACUUGCAAAGAGACAGAGAAAUGUAGAUAAAAUUCAAGCCUGAAGCAUAAUUUCAAUGCUCUCCGCCAAUGCAUGUUAAAUAGGUGCUAAUGUUUCACGCAGACCCCCUACCUAAUUAAUCCGAAUGAAAUCCGAGCUGUAAGAGCACCCAAUUACACGCAUAUCCACGCAAACGCGAGGACCUCUCACGGUAAAGCGCCGCUUGACAGGCAGCCGGAGGGGACCCCAUCCGCUCCUGGGUCCCCCUCACCCACGGAGCCCCGACGGCGGACACUCCAGCACGGCCCUCCCGGUGCCACCCGCGGGUAUCCUGGGUCGGCGAGAGUUUGUCACGGCGUCCUUAAAACCUGCGUAGUGAGGGUAUUUUGCAAGCCCAGAAACAGGCGGGAGGACCCGGGUGAGGCGAGCGCGGGCAGCACCGCACGCUCCCGUUUAUCUCCUGUCAAGGCGACAGGAGGGAGGGGACACGGUUACCUCGUCGGGGUCUCGCUAGGCGAGGGUUUGGACAAGCCUUAGAAAGACUAGCGGGGGCUCAGCGCGGCUCCUUCGGCGCGACAGUAGUGUCUCACCGCUUCCCCGAUCCCGCACCUCGGGGCGAGCUAAUGGGGGUUCUUGCCUGCGAAAAGAAGAGACGCCCCGGAGAAGCCGCCGGGGAGCGAGCCGAAACCCUGAGGGGUGCGGGGAGGGGGAGGGAGCGGGCAAAGUUUUACCCCCGCCGGCUGCACACCGCGGUGCCCGUCUACCGGGCGGGAAGAGGAUCCCC
rnacentral:lncRNA from 1 species